rfam:Nasonia vitripennis chromosome 1, whole genome shotgun sequence.
CAAUCGGCCCUUUUCAGGGCCACCAAAUUUUUUAACGUUGGAAUAU